ensembl:lncRNA
CUGGUUUUUACACUUUACUUAUCAGUGCGUAAGCUGUUUUAAUUUAUUUCCUUUUUGUUGUGAAAGCAUACAAGCUUUAAGCAGCCAUGCCUAAAAGGAGCAAAGCUAACAAUGACACUGAAGCAGCCGGGCCCAAGAGACGGUCUGAGAGACUUCAGGGUAAACCCCAAACGCCAAAGUCUGAGCCCAAGCCAAAAGUGAAGAAGGCACCUGCAAAGGGCAAGAAGGCCAAGGAGGUAGAAAAGGCCAAACCAGAGGAGAAGAAAGAAGACGCAAAGCCAGAGACGGAGUCUGAGGAGGAAACUCCUGUGGAGAACGGAGAGGCCAAAGCUGAGGGGGACAAUGGAGAAGCAGGAGGCGAGGAGGAAAAGGCUGACUAGAAAGAGGGAGCUGCUAAAUAAGACGAAAACAUUUCACAAGAGCUCCCAUACCUCUUUUCUUGUACAAUACAGAGGAAUAUUUUUAUUGACUAUUUUCUAAAAAGCAGGUUUUUUAGUAGUUCAAUAUUAGAAGCUCAUUUUAUAGACAACGAUCAAGAGAAAAGCCUUAGAAGAGGGAUUCCAUGGUCUCCCCACUCCAGUUUUUCCUGAAGAAGAAAAGCAGUCAUGAAACAACUAAUGACUUCCUCUUAUUA